rnacentral:rRNA from 1 species
UACGAAGGGGGCGAGCGUUGUUCGGAAUUACUGGGCGUAAAGGGCGCGCAGGCGGCUCUGAAAGUCAGAUGUGAAAGCCCCGGGCUUAACCUGGGAAUUGCAUUUGAUACUCUGGAGCUUGAGUACGGGAGAGGAGAGUGGAAUUCCCAGUGUAGAGGUGAAAUUCGUAGAUAUUGGGAAGAACACCGAUGGCGAAGGCAGCCAUCUGGACCGACACUGACGCUGAGGCGCGAAAGCGUGGGGAGCAAACAGG